GCUGGGUGCAGUGGUGCACGUCUGUAAUCCCAGUGGCUCGGGAGGCUGAGACAGGAGAAUUGAGAGUUCAAAGCCAGCCUCAGUAAUGGUGAGGCCCUAAGCAACUCAGUGAGACCCUGUCUCUA
rnacentral:sRNA from 1 species